ACUCAACGAAGAUUAAAUUCAAAGAGGUGAGUCACUAUUGUAAAAGCAUGCUGCCUAGAGCAGAUCCUUGAUCAAUGGGGUAGCCUCAAACCUGUUUAUAUGGAGUUU
rnacentral:sRNA from 10 species